GACGAACGCUGGCGGCGCGCCUAAUACAUGCAAGUCGAACGCAGUGGGGACGGGUGAGUAACACGUGGGUAACCUCCCAUCAGAGGGGAUCACCCUUGGAAACAGGUGCUAAACCGCUCCUGAAGGAUGGACCCGCGGUGCAUUAGCUAGGUGGUGAGGUAACGGCGCACCAAGGCCACGAUGCAUAGCCGACCGUGGAGGGUGAUCGGCCACACUGGGACUGAGACACGGCCCAGACUCCUACGGGAGGCAGCAGUAGGGAAUCUUCGGCAAGGGGCGAAAGUCUGACGGAGCAACGCCGCGUGAGUGAAGAAGGUUUUCGGAUCGUAAAACUCGUUUGUUGGAGAAGCGGUAUCUAACCAGAAAGCCACGGCUAACUACGUGCCAGCAGCCGCGGUAAUAC
rnacentral:rRNA from 1 species